UUGGCGGGACGGGUGAGUAACACGUGAGCAACCUGCCUUCGAGAGGGGAAUAACGGCUGGAAACGGUCGCUAAUACCGCAUAACAUACCGGGAGGACAUCCUGCUGGUAUCAAAGAUUUAUCGCUCGAAGAUGGGCUCGCGUCCGAUUAGGUAGUUGGUGAGGUAACGGCUCACCAAGCCGACGAUCGGUAGCCGGACUGAGAGGUUGAACGGCCACAUUGGGACUGAGACACGGCCCAGACUCCUACGGAAGGCAGCAG
rnacentral:rRNA from 1 species